rnacentral:rRNA from 1 species
GACGAACGCUGGCGGCGUGCUUAACACAUGCAAGUCGAACGGAAAGGCCCUGCUUUUGUGGGGUGCUCGAGUGGCGAACGGGUGAGUAACACGUGAGUAACCUGCCCUUGACUUUGGGAUAACUUCAGGAAACUGGGGCUAAUACCGGAUAGGAGCUCCUGCUGCAUGGUGGGGGUUGGAAAGUUUCGGCGGUUGGGGAUGGACUCGCGGCUUAUCAGCUUGUUGGUGGGGUAGUGGCUUACCAAGGCUUUGACGGGUAGCCGGCCUGAGAGGGUGACCGGCCACAUUGGGACUGAGAUACGGCCCAGACUCCUACGGGAGGCUGCAGUGGGGAAUAUUGCGCAAUGGGCGGAAGCCUGAUGCAGCAACGCCGCGUGCGGGAUGACGGCCUUCGGGUUGUAAACCGCUUUCGCCUGUGACGAAGCGUGGGUGACGGUAAUGGGUAAAGAAGCACCGGCUAACUACGUG